rnacentral:tRNA from 1 species
CUCUGAGUAACCUAAAUAAGGUACUAAACUUUUAAUUUAGCUAUGAUAAAAUUAUCCUCAGGGG